CUGUUGAGGGGUACCUCUUUCCCAAGAGCUCUACUUCAACCUCUGUCCCAACUGCCGUCAGCUCCAUGGGCAGGACGACACAAAGACAGCAAGGCUGGCACAACGGUUCACGCUAGGUCAAACAGAAAGUGGAAAGUGACCGGCUUUCAGUGGAAUGCGCACAGCACAAAGCACCUAACCAUGAGAAGAGAAGCAGGUUCCUGAACGAAGGUGUGGGACACAAAUGGCUUUCAAGUGUGGCUGUGUCUAUGGCAAAAGGCUUCAGCCACUGGAAAGUGACUCCCAUGGCGUGAAUGAUGUUUCUCCUCUAAGUAAUGGUGCAAGGACUGACCUGCUUGUCCAAUUGCCGAAGCGAUUGGCAUCCAACUCCACCAGA